rnacentral:rRNA from 1 species
UACGUAGGGUGCGAGCGUUGUCCGGAAUUAUUGGGCGUAAAGAGCUCGUAGGCGGUGUGUCACGUCGGCCGUGAAAACCUGCAGCUUAACUGUGGGCGUGCGGUCGAUACGGGCAUCACUGGAGUUCGGCAGGGGAGACUGGAAUUCCUGGUGUAGCGGUGAAAUGCGCAGAUAUCAGGAGGAACACCGGUGGCGAAGGCGGAUCUCUGGGCCUUACCUGACGCUGAGGCGCGAAAAGCUAGGGGGAGCGAACAGG